CAGUGUCAGGAAUACAGUACAUAUUGGACUGGACUGCAGAGGGUGGAAGGAAUAAUUGAAGUUUAGCUCCAGCCUGGAACUGAAUCUAGAGGAACAUGUUUGGAGAUCCUGCUGUCCCACACGCCUUCAAAGAGGUUUGAAUUCAAGAACUUGGGCACUAUCCCCAUUUUACAGGUUCUACCCUACACAAGACACCACUUUUUUAGCAUGGCUGAAGAAUCUGUGUUUAACAGAGAUCCUGUCGCUGCCUAUGGAAAGUAAAGUUC